rnacentral:lncRNA from 1 species
GGCUAGGAGCUUUGCCCUCUUAUUCCCGCGCGGUGCAGCAGCGACCUGAGGACGAGUUCGAGGCACAGUGGUGGUUCCGGCACACGACGCCGGGGGAGGCGGUGGUGAUUCCUUGCCUCGUCUGUUCUCCUUAUCUGAGGUCCGUCCGACGGCCGAUGCACACCCGACGUCGUCAUGGAGGCUCCGACCCCGAGGCACCCUCCUUGCUUCCUUCUGGUUGCAUCUCCCCCUGGUGAGCUCCUUCUUUCUUCAGUUCCUCGUAAUUAUUUUUCAUUCUGCAGUAGGGUAUGGGUGUCCGGGUCUCUUUUAACUUAAUCCCCACAAAUUCUCAUAUUGCUAUGUGCAUAUUCUAUUUUAUCCAUGCCUACACGGUGCACAACAGAACUCCUAGCAGGCUUGCAAUAUCACGCGUAAGGAAAGAUGUGUUCCUCUCUGGCUAGCACCUGCUCGAUCAAAUGCCUAGCCAUUUCAAUCGUUUUAUUGUAGGAAAUAUAAGGUGCACCCAAAUAGGAGGCCAUUCUGUGCAGCCUAUUCUUUUUAGUUCUAGGAAUCCUAUGGUAGAGGGUGGUGUUAGUUCUAUAAAUAACUUUCAGACAUUUGUAGUUUUUCAGGUUGUAGCGUGACAACUUUGAUCAAAAUUUGUUUCAGUUGACUCUACAUUCCAUUCGUUGAUUUUGUGUUCUUAACUGAAAGUAGAGUUUGUUGAUGUAAGUGACUUGGAUUAGUAUUCUUCUCUUUGCUAUGCUAAUAUUCACCUUGUUCAGUUGACCCCACUUUCCGUUCGCUUGAUUUUGUGUUCUUAACUGAAAGUAGAGUUUGUUGGUGUAAGUGACUUGGAUCAGUAUUCUUCUUUUUGCAUAUGCUAAUAUUCACCUCUAACAGCUGCUAAAGUAUCAUGGCAUUAUAUCAAACUCUGCUCUACCCAAAUUUUCCAGGCCUGAAGAGAGGAAGAGUAGGCCGGCGGCAAUGAUCCAGUGACGAGCGCCUCCGUAGUGCAGAUACUUUGGAUCUAUGUGCUUUGGCCAAAUUGGUCGAGCCUGAGACUGAUUGGAAGGUAAUAUUGUUCAUGCUCUUCGGUGAUGAGAUUGAUUCACUUUCUUCCAUAUUAAAAAAUCAAACUAAAUGCUCUUAUAUGUAUUACAGACCUUUUCUGAUAUCCUUGAAUUAGCCGUGGAAGGCAGAGGAAGUAGAGAUAAAAAUGUAUCAUGCUUUUCUCUUCUUUUAAGCAUUUCAUCUGUUUGAUUCAUUUUAACAGUAAAACGAUUUCCUUUAUUCAUACAUGAUUUGGAAGUGACUCUCACUCAUGUGAGGUUUAGCAUUAGGGACAUUUCCAUAUGUUUACUUUGAGCUCAUUUUAUCAUCUUUUUUGUUAGCGCCUUCCUGUUCUUCAUUCAUGUUAGACAGCGGUCCAUGUACAGACCAAGAACAAAAAACUGCUUAUGAAUGGUUUGAGUGGAGGUAUAAACAAAUUGUGGUCUUUUGGCUAAUUGGUUGGAUGACUACUUUCACUUUUUACCUUGCACAAAAUAAUCAAUUCCAUGGUUUCCCUUUAUGUUUUUUUCUCGCAAAUGCCAUUGAAAGCUCUCCAUGAUUUCUAAUGCUGGCCAUUUUGUUGGUUCAUUGUGGCACAAUUGGAAGCAGCCGCAUAUAAAUGUGUAGGUGGCAUCAUGAUUUGGGACACUAUAGCGACAUUUUGCUCAUAUCAUAGUGCAUACAACCUUUUUCACAUGUGUUAUCUUAUUGUACCAUGGAUAUGCACUGCUUAUGUAUAUUCAUUUGUUGUGUGCUUUACAGGACAGAUGGGCCUGGAAGAUACACCAGAAACAGAAGAAAAUUUUCUCAAAAUUGCGAAAGAGCGAUAUAGAGGCCGGUGAUCAACUCUAAAGCUCCACUUAUAAGGCAUACAAAACAGAUGCAGCUAGAUUGGCUAAUCUGCCGGAAGAUUUACUACCGGAAGAGUGAAUGGAUGAUUGAGUACUUUGGCACUGAUUCAAAAUUUCAGGUUAUCUUUAAGAUCACUCUUUGUCUACUAUGUGUUAAAAUGAAAUAGCUUUUUUGACGGGUUAUAUUUGGUUUUGAUGAAUUGAUAGGAACACAACCGAAGCUAAGAACGGAACAUGGUCUAACACAGAGUCCCAGGAUGUUUAAGUGAGUACACUGACUUUUGGUUAUUCUAUAGUUAUUCAAUGAUGUGCGUUCGGCAUGCUUCUGCAUCAGCUGGGAUUAUUCAUGUGUUGGAUCGUGUUAUUCUUGUUUCAUCUUUUAUAGUGUCAAUAUUGAUGCGGCACCUAUAAUUGUUCUUUCCGCUUUGAGGACAAAACACAUUAAGAGGUUGAAAACAAAGAAACUGAAAUUCAUGGUCCACUUUCAAGUGAGCAUGUCAUUGGCCUUCAUAAUUAGCUAGCUGCUUCUUCUCUUUCAUCAUGCGUUGCUGCUGCAUUGAGUCACAACUUAAAAAAAUGAAUAUGUGCUAGCUAGGGACAUGAACUUAAUUGAAACUAUAGAUUGAGUCACAGCUUAAAUCAAUAGCGGAAGCUUUAAGUACAUGUACUUGUGCAUACGCUUUAGACAUUUACACUUGUAAGAUUGUUCUGACCCCUCAGUUACAUGCUUGCUGACACAGUAUUACUCCUCCAGUUAGUCUGGCAAUAGUUCUUUUUAACAAUGGGGCUGGAAUAAUUGUAUGGCAUAUGUUAUGUUGGACUCAUCAACUAGUUUUUUUUAUUUCUUGAUUGCAGGAUCCAAAGAACUAGCUCGACGUGACUCUAGAUCACGGACAGUUUAGUCUUGGCACUUAAUUGGGAUGGCUAAAUUACAUUUGAGUUUCAUUUGAUGGAUAUUUACUAUGAGAAUUAUGAAUUUUAUUAAUGUACAUAUUAUACGUAUGGUUUUGAAUAUUGUAAUUGAAUGUCUGUAUUUUUUUUAGGUUGCAAUAGGCUAUUGCCACAACCUACUUUUGGUUGCCACAUGUUAGCAGCACGAAAAUUAAAAUUGUCGCAAUAGUUUCUUGCUACAAACAUUUCACCCGUUGUGAUACCUACUUAUCACCACAAAAACUAUUAUGUUGCAAUUUCUUGUUACGAUGACCGGAAUAUUU